GCUUGCUGUUUGGGGUUUUAGGCUGGGUUUCUGUACAGCACUUUGAGAUAUCAGCUGAUGUACGAAGGGCUAUAUAAAUAAAUUUGAUUUGAUUUAGUCUACAACGCUGACAGGCAACACCGUGUCAUUUCAUUAACUCACUAGAAUUACCUUGUCUUCUUCAUUCAUUUCGAUUGCACUUCCUUUCGUGGUGAAAUUAGUUUUGAUUACUAUUAACUUUAAUCCACAGAGUUUAAGUGUUUAUGUUGCCCACGUCAUCAUGUGAUGCUGUGAGCAAACAAUUUAUGCCCAGCCUUCCUAGAUAGGCCUGGGCUGCAUAACACUAUGAAUCUGGGAAAACAUAACACUUAAAAAAAGUUUUACAGUGCAAAAAUAGCGUAGGCCUACUUGUGUACUAUUCAAAUCCACACUAAAGCCACACCUCUUCACACAGACUUACCCAGAUUCACUUCCCUGGUUAAUCUGUCAUCAUGUUUAGUGUUCUCCAUGGUUAAUGUGUCUCUAUGUUUAGUGCACUUUAAUAUAGCCUGUUUACUUAUUUGAAUGUUUGAUUCUAUUGCUUUUUAUCCUGCAGAUUUUGUUGUGGAUUUAAAUUGACUUUGGGUGUCUUGAAAAUCACUUAAAAUAGCACUGUUGUUCUAAUCGUCAGAUCGCAGGUAUUCUGAUCUUCACUGUCCAUGGUGCUGAAUCUGGCUGGGUAGAUUAGUUUGAAUGCUGAAAACUUGUGUGCCUACAUUUAAAGGCCCUGUGAAGUCAAAAUAAUUGUAUUUCAUAUUGUACAACAGCUGAUGAAACUAACAUUGUAAAUGUGUUUUACAAAAAUGUGAUCGGGGUUGCUUCCUGAUAGUUCUGGUUGAAAAUACAGAGCAUGUUCCUCUGCCCAGGCCUUGCUGACACUUGCCAGAUCUUACACUGCCCGGAUAGGUAUUUUGUGUGUCAGCUAACCACAUCAUAUGUUAUAGCAAUCUGUCAGUCGAUGACACAAUGGAUGACUUGGCACACAACCAUUGGUUGAUGCAUGCAACACCUGAGCUGGGACACAUUCUUUUCACAGCACUUCAAUGCAAAGUCAUUUUCGUAGAAGGUUUGGAGAGCAUUUUCACUAACCCUAACCCUUUUCCUAACCUUAACCUCAGUUUCCUAACCUGCUACGAAAAAUUCACUUCGAUAUUGAAGUGCCAUGAAAAGAGAGUUUCCCACAUCUAUACAGCACCUUCUAAUCAGCAGGUUUGCAUGGGAGAGAGUUUUGGCUUUCCAUGGCGACAUCACCAUGUGUAAAUUGGUUUAUAGACCAACGACAAAGAGAGUGCCAAUAACCGCUAGUUUUAAUUUCCCCUACACACUGACCACUCCCAGACAGUCCUAGCAAAAUUCUUGCUUGAGAAAGUUUUUUUUGGCAAAAAUACAUUUUUGACCAUUUUCAUUGUAAUCUAUUACAGUAAGGUACUUAAUUGUUACCCCAAAAUGAUUUGAUAUUGAUAUAAAAACGUCUGCUUUGGGCCUUAAACAGAUAUAUUUACAUUUUAGAAUGUAUUUUAUCAAGGAAGUAAGUUAUACUUGUCUUUUUUUAUCUUACUCUUAGUUGCAAAUAAUUAAUUUGGCUGUGGUUCAUUUGAUUUUCAGGACAACCCUGUUUGAUAACUUAUAGUAUUAUAGUGACUUCUUGUGGUAAAAUGUCAAACUCACAACUAAACUCAUUAAAAUUGAGGUUUUCUUUA